AGAUGGCAGGAGGCGGAGGUUGCAAUGAGCUGACAUUAUGCCACUGCACUCCAGCCUGGGCAACAGAGGGAAGACCCUGUCUCAAAAAAAAAAAAAAAAGUACAGAAAUGCAGAUGAAAUAAGGAGCACAGAAGCAGACUAGCCCCAAGGAAAACAUAAUAAGAGACACAGGGAUUUUAAAAUACAGAAAUAAAGUGUUUUUUUUAAGUGUUAGAAAAUACAGUAGAUCCAACAAACUUAGAAUUGAAACCCUCAUAGAAGAAAAACCAAACGUCACAACAGAACAAGUGGUUAAAAACACAAUAGAAGAAAAACUAACUCAGCUGAAACUUACAUGUUGAAAGGGCAUCUGUGCCAGGGAAAACUGACCAGAAAGAUCUUAAAGAUUUCCUUUGGACAGCCAGACACCUUCCUAACUACUCCACCCCAAGUCAUUCAUAAAACUUUGAAAUCUGCCUGGCCUUAGAAUUCUGCACAACAUUCAACACGAGUGGAACAACAUUUAUAAGAAAGUAAAGUGCGAGCUAAAGAUUUUAUAUCCAGUCACAUUGUUCUUAAGGAACAAAUAGUAAUCAAAGAAGAAAAAAAAAAGAACCAAAAAAAAAAAAAAAGAAAGAAAAAAAAUAGUACUCAGAAUAAUUGUUUAUGUGAGCCUUCUUGAGGAAAAUACAAGAAUAUAAACUUCAGCUGACAGACUGCUCACACACUGAAUUUAUAUGUAGACGUAAAGACU